rnacentral:rRNA from 1 species
GAUGAACGCUGGCGGCGUGCCUAAUACAUGCAAGUCGAGCGAACGGACGAUAAGCUUGCUUCUCUGAUGUUAGCGGCGGACGGGUGAGUAACACGUGGAUAACCUACCUAUAAGGCUGGGAUAACUUCGGGAAACCGUAGCUAAUACCGGCUAAUAUUUUGAACCGCAUGGUUCAAAAGUGAAAGACGGUCUUCCUGUCACUUAUAGCUGGAUCCGCGCUGCAUUAGCUAGUUGGUAAGGUAACGGCUCACCAAGGCAACGAUGCAUAGCCGACCUGAGAGGAGGAUAGGCCACACGGGAAAUGAGACAGGGGCCAGACUAAGACGGGAGGCAGAAGUGGGGAAGAUUGGACAAUGGGCGAAAGAAUGAAAAAGCAAUACCGCGUGGGUGAAGAAGGCCUUCGGGUUGGAAAGCACUUUUGUUGGGAAAGAAAAGCAGAAGGUGAAUAACCAGCGGUUAUGACGGUACCAAAAGAAUAAGAAACGGCUAACUUAGUG